rnacentral:lncRNA from 10 species
AAAAGGAGGGCUGCAUUGAACCUACUGCCAACUAGGCUCUGUGCUAGGCACAUAUACGCCUUAACUCAUAGUAGCAUUAUAUGCCAUAAACCAUAAAACCCCAAAAGGUAAAUGAUUUAUCCCCAUUUUACACAUGAAAGAAAAAAACUGAAGCUCAGGAAGAUUAUGGAAACUGACCAAGGUCACAAAUCUAGGAGGUAGGAUUGUAAAGUACAUCUACCUGGCUUCAAGAUCUAUUACCUAGAACUAAUCACAUUGUUAGCAACAGUGAUCUUGGGAGACAAGAAUUUUGUAAACCAAAGUGCCAUACAAAUACAAAGCUAUUGUUAUCAUAAUCUGUCAAUUUCCUGUGUUUCUAUCAUUGCCCUCAUAGGCCCUCUUGUCUGAAGUUGAUGAAUACCAUUUAAUAUAUCAGUCAAGUACUUUAUUUUGUCAGGGCCCUGUGGUAGGCUCUGGCCAGGCCUGCUGUGUUCAAUCCCCUCUCAGUCUGUUUAGAUUGGACAUGACUGCCUGCGUAUAUUCACACAUUGGUCACCAUCUCAUAGACGCAAAGUCGCUAUUCAGGAGUGAUGUCUACUCACUAUUUUAUAAUCUGUGUAAACUAUAGCAAGAUGGUGCCGAUGGCAAAGUAUCCCAAACUCAGAUAUUCAAUCCAGAGAUAUAGCUUCAUAAUGGCAAUAUAUCUACAAAAGGUAAAUUUACUGGAGUUUCAAAGUGACAUGGCUAAGGAUGACAUAGGCUUGGUAAACUCCUACCUAGGGCUUUCCAUGCCCUGACAAAACCUCAUUCCUGGCAGGAAGUCCACCAUGACCACUAAGUCAAGCAUUUUUUUCCUUGAGGAGCUGGAUAAUUUGGGAAGGUGUGCUCACAUCUUACUUCCCCUAGGCUGAUACCUCCUGAUACAUUUUGCUGAGAACCUAUCAUGUGUGCUCAUUGGAAUCGACUAUAAGAUGUAAAAGAUUUGUGUGUCAGAGUAUUCACUUGGGUCAUGUCUCCAACCCUCCUUCUGUAGAGCAACUUCAGCCUGGAAAAGCAGAAAUGAGAUGCGGCCAAGAAAAAGACUCCAGCCCAGCCUGCCUUGGUUCUAACCCUGACUGUUACUUAACCUCUUUCUGGCUCAGUCAAGAAACUUGAGCACUGCAAGAUGAUCAUGUGGAAUACCUACUUCAAACGGAUGUUAAGAGGAGUAAAAGUGUUCUUGUUUCUAAGUGCUUGAAAUGCAGCUGGCAUAUAAUUAAGCUAUGCAAAUAUUUACUUUUUUUUUUUGAAAUGCUGAGUUUACUGAUCACUCUAAUUUUUACAUAUGUGUGUCAUUACAGAAGAUUCAGGCUUUAGCGAUGACUGGAGGGUCAUUCGCUGGAAAGAAUUUCAUCAGUUGGAACUAAAUCAUGAUGAAUGAAAUACAAGUACAACAAGAAAAAGUUUCUGUAAAAACUAAGGUGAUUGCUUUAGAAUAACUCCAUAAAGGUCAUUCUGAAAAACAAUUGCUGCAACUCUAAAAGAUGGGGAAAUCUAGAAGCAUUCUGCACUUUGAUCAUGCACUGGGGCUGCAGUUUGUGCUUGAAGGAUUACCAAGAACUCCAAUUGUAGUGCCUCACUUUGGAGUCGGCUGAGAAGAUCAUUCCAGACGGGAGUUUUGACACUGUACAAAUGCACUGUCUUCACAUCUACGCUGACACCCCUGCCUUUCUACCUGCAGGUGUCUGUGGCUUACAAGCUGGUGCCUCCCACAGACCCUGUAGUUUGGAGCUAAUGAAGAGCUGAGAAGGUAGGUUUGGCUGUGACUAGAGAGCAGGAACAACCUCUCCACAGGUCAUUCCUUUCUCCAGGCAUGGAACCGUCUUACAAACCUGGGCUGAGGGUUCAUUGCCUCUAAAUGUAGAAGCAAAGACUAAAUUCAAAAGGCAAGAACUACUUAAUGAAAACAGAAACUCCACUACAUACGUGUUUCUUCUGCCUAUCCCAUGGAGUCAGAGAGGUGGUGGAUCUAGCAGAGACAGCUGUAGACCAGGGGUCAGAAGACUUGGGUCCUCAUCCUGAUUCUACCACUAACUAGCUGCAUGACCUCAGACAAGUGACUUGUCUGCCCUAGACCAGGCAGGGUUGGACAGUUAGCCCCAAAGUCCCUUCUAAUGCUAAAAUUCUAAGAUUGUACCCUGCCAGCCUUAGGAGGCUAUGCUGUUACUACCAGUGCCUGGCACAUAGCAGGCACUAUAUAAAUGUUAAUUAUCAUUAUUAUUAUGUAAAGGCACAAUGCAUGCCUUUAUAUGUAAACGUGGAUUCUUCCCCAUUAUAACAAUGAAUGAUCUAGAAGCAAAUUAUAACAACAGGGUAUAAUCAUAAGCAAUGAAGACUGUAAUUCCUACCGGUCUUCUUCUCAGCACAAAUGAAUAAAGCUUUUCCCCCCUCCCCCUCCAGUAAUUGUUGGAGGUGGUUCUUGGAUCCAAAUCCCAAGCCCUUCCAGAAUAUCUGCAAUUGGAGAACGGGUCAUUCAAUCAAAAGACUGUAGACUGUACUGUGAUGUAAAUUUUUUUCUUCCCCACUGAAAAUCCCAGGCCAGGCAUGGUGGCUAACACUUAUAAUCCCAGCACUUUGGGAGGCCUAGGUGGGCAGAUCACUUGAGCUCUGAGCAAUACAAUGAGACCUCGUCUCUACUAAAAAUUCAAAAACAAUUAGCCUGGUGUGGUGGCACAUGCCUGUAGUCCCAGCUAUUCAGGGGGCUGGGGGCUGAGGUGGGAGGAUCACUUGAGUCUGAGAGGCCAAGGCUGCAGUGAGCCCUGAUUGCACCACUGAACUCCAGCCUGGGUGACAGAAGAAGACCUUGUCUCAGAAAAAAACAAACAAGCAAACAAACAAAAAACUCAAUGCAGGUUGGGAAUGAGAACUGGGAUUCAGGAUUUGGAGUUUCCUAAUAUAUUUUGCCUUCUUCCCAUGAUAUAUACAGUGUAUAAACCUAGUAUGAGGAAGGAACAGUUGUCUAUCAAAAUGGUAAAUGGCAUUCAGUCUUAAGUUUCUAAAUAAAGUUAGCAAUUAUGGGUAUGGCCAAAUGUGGGUGCUUGCCAUAACCUCUGGGGCCUCACCAUUUCCAGCUACCAGGAUCUGCAACUUUUUGCCUGAGGGUUUUCUCAGAAGACACAGAAACUGUUCUGCCUAUAAGCCUUGAAGUGCCAGGGAAUUAACACCUACCUUCCCACAGCCCUCCCCACAGUGACUGAUAGCAUUGAUAACGAUACCCAAGCUUCACCCCUCAGGUGGGAUAACUGAGCUGCUUGUUCUAUACCAUGUUCUAGAGUUUCUCCCAUGAGUUUAGGUUCUAAUCAUCCACAUGUAAAUUGCUUGAUAAGAAACCUUCAUUGACUCCUUGUCUCACUUCCCCUCCCCUUAUUUGUUUUGUUUGCACCUUUCAAAUAAACUAUUUUCAUUCAAAUC